rnacentral:lncRNA from 1 species
GGCUUGGUAAGAAGUGGCCCCCUGUGCCGCGGGGCCCCGCGGAGGAGCCCGGCUUUGUGGAGGAUUAGAAAGCUCCCUCCCUAUCCCAAUACCUGCGUGUAUGUCGGUCCUGCAGGCCCACCCCAGACUCCAAAUUCCGGGAACAGCAGGUCAUCCCCUUCUUCCUGUUUCCCACUCCCGCCUUCCCUGUGCCGAGCCUCUUCUCCACAUCUCUCUUAUCCCCUUUGUCGGAAUGGAGACCUCUGAGCUUCUGGGACUCUAUGGCUGCUGUACAGAGUUGAGUCGGAACUGUGCCCAGGGUUGCAUUCCCGGGGCGGCUCAAAGGCCGCAUCUCCAAGCAGAAGGGUGAGCCGGCGACCCACCUUCAGGUACAUGGCUCACCUGGCCCCCGGGCCGCACAGAAUCUUGGCCCACCACCCUGUGCUCCUGCCGGCUUCGCAGCCCACACCACCAGGGCCAAGGUGGGUGCCCAGAGCUGUCGGCAGCCGCUGAGAUUCGGGCUUGGACCCAGGCCGCAGUCUGCUGUCUCUGAUCUGGGAGCGGGGUUGCUUAGGCCACAAACCUGGUUUCCCAUCUCCUUCUCCUCCUCCUCCCGGUUUGCUGAGCAUUAAUUCCCCACCCCACCCCACCGUCUGGAUCAACCCGUGGAUCCUGUCCUUGCCUUUUGUCUCUGCUCUCCCUCUCCCCAGCUGAGUCGGCGGCGUCCCGGCUCCUUCGCGCUGUGCGCAGAGGCCCCAGGUCUCUUUCAAGCCCAGUUGUGGCUCCUGCGUCUCCCGACGGGCUUCCCCUGCUGAAAACUUGGCGGACUGUACUGUAGAAACGGGGCCUCGGCCUGAAGUUGGAUACUGCCGGUAGCUGGCGAGUGCUGUCUUGCUUGGACCGCCGACAGAAGCCGCCAAUUCCUCCCCAGGGCGACCCCGGGCCCUCUGGCGAUCCGGGAUUCUCUUGGGCUUGGACUAAGGUGUCAGAAACAGCUUCGGGUUUUCUCCACCUAAGGGAAGACCCAGUCGACGGUGCGGAAUCGCUUGGGAAGAAGCAAGAACUGAGAUGGAAGCUGUAGGGCAGGAGUCUUAGCUCCCCAAUUCUAUGGACACCUCAUUUCCCCUGAGCCUUUCUCUCUACCUCCUUGCUCCUUUCCUUAGGGCUUAGUGCUCCCACAGCCUGCCUGCGCGCUACCAGCGGCCCACAAGCAGGGUCCUAGGACCCCUACCCUCUGGGCAGUGGAGCCCUGUCUGUUCUCCCCCAGCCGUGCUUCUGACCAGAGCCAGCCGUGAGUCCCCUCCCAGUUUACAGCCCCAGCUGGAAGCCAGAAUCCUGGGCAGGAGUGGAGGACAGGGCGCGGCCCAGCC